GGCUCAGUGGUCUAGAGGUAUGAUUCCUGCUUCGGGCGUAGAAACCCUUCCAUCUACACGUGGGAAUGCAGGAGGCCCCGGGUUCGAAUCCCGGCUGAGCCC